UUACCGAGUUUACAACUCCCAAACCCCUGUGAACAUACCUUAAUGUUGCCUCGGCGGAUCAGCCCGCGCCCCGUAAAACGGGACGGCCCGCCAGAGGACCCAAACUCUAAUGUUUCUUAUUGUAACUUCUGAGUAAAACAAACAAAUAAAUCAAAACUUUCAACAACGGAUCUCUUGGUUCUGGCAUCGAUGAAGAACGCAGCAAAAUGCGAUAAGUAAUGUGAAUUGCAGAAUUCAGUGAAUCAUCGAAUCUUUGAACGCACAUUGCGCCCGCUGGUAUUCCGGCGGGCAUGCCUGUUCGAGCGUCAUUUCAACCCUCAAGCCCCCGGGUUUGGUGUUGGGGAUCGGCUCUGCCUUCUGGCGGUGCCGCCCCCGAAAUACAUUGGCGGUCUCGCUGCAGCCUCCAUUGCGUAGUAGCUAACACCUCGCAACUGGAACGCGGCGCGGCCAUGCCGUAAAACCCCAACUUCUGAAUGUUGACCUCGGAUCAGGUAGGAAUACCCGCUGAACUUAAGCAU
rnacentral:rRNA from 1 species